AUACAGAGGUGGCAAGCGUUGUUCGGAUUUACUGGGCGUAAAGGGUGUGUAGGCGGCUUGGUUAGUGAGGUGUGAAAUCCCGGAGCUUAACUUCGGAACUGCACUUCAUACUGCCGAGCUCGAGUCUCUGAGAGGCAAGGGGAAUUCCCGGUGUAGCGGUGAAAUGCAUAGAUAUGUUAUAGAACACCAAUUGCGAAGGCAGAUCACUAAACCAUUACUGACGCUGAGGUACGAAAGCGUGGGGAGCGAACAGGAUUAGAAACCCCAGUAGUCC
rnacentral:rRNA from 1 species